rnacentral:misc_RNA from 1 species
UUACUGAUUUGCUUAAUUGCACCACAUGUGUUUUUUACUGGACAGCUGCUUUGGCGGUGGGGACUCGUUUCCGCCGCCAGAGGUCACAACUAAACCAAACUUUUUAUUACCAGUCAACCAUACGUUUUAAUAGUCAAAACUUUCAACAACGGAUCUCUUGGUUCUCGCAUC